rnacentral:lncRNA from 1 species
CUAAACCCAAUGAAGUUGUUCUCAAAGUUUUCCACCACCCUUUAUAGUUCCUUCUUACUUUCAUCUCCACCUCUUCCCCGCCAUGCCCCGCUGCCGGAUACAUAUUCACCGCCACUGGUCCCCUCCGGCUCUGGCUUCGGCUUCUUCUCUGCCUUCUUCUUAUGUCUCUCAAUUCCAUCUCUGUGUUGGAGGACAACCUUGACAUCCCAAACAUAAACAAAAACCACCUUGACUUUGUUGUUGACCUUACCAAUGAUACCUUCCCUAAUGAUGAUGAUGAUAAUGAGUACUCUCUAGGGUAACUCUUUGCUUCUUCUAGUCCCUUAUUCUUUUGAAUAUUCUUUUUGCUUUCAAGCUUCUUCUUCUCUUUCUCACCAGAGGGAAUAUCUUUGAAUAUAGGGAUGAGUUUGCCACAAAAGAUUAUAUUCUCUGCAGUUGCACUAUGAGUUGAGGUGGUGAAUUCUUCACUGAAGAACUCGAAGAAGUCAUCAUCAUUAUCAUAAUCAUCUUCUUUGUUGAAAUUAUCAUGACUCCAUUGAGCUGAGGAGAUUGAAUGAGCAUCACUAUAAAUUGGAAGGUCACUAAGG